UACGGAGGGUGCAAGCGUUGCUCGGAAUUAUUGGGCGUAAAGGGCAGGUAGGUGGUCUCAUUUGUCUGGGGUGAAAGCCUUGAGCUUAACUCAAGAAGUGCCCCAGAAACGGUGAGACUGGAGUCCUGGAGAGGGUCGUGGAAUUCCCGGUGUAGCGGUGAAAUGCGUAGAGAUCGGGAGGAACACCAGAGGCGAAAGCGGCGACCUGGACAGGCACUGACACUCAACUGCGAAAGCGUGGGGAGCAAACAGG
rnacentral:rRNA from 1 species